rnacentral:lncRNA from 1 species
GAGAGGAGCAGCUUCCAAAGUGAAGAUGAAUUCUCUCAUGCCAGACUGCACUUCUAAGUGUCGAUCUCUACAGCAUGCUUUGGAUGUUAUUUCUGUAGUAACCAGAGGAAGUGAAGGCCAGAUCAAAGCUUUUCUUUCUUCUUACUGCUACAAUGCUGCAACUAUAAAGGAUGCCUUUGGUAGAAAUGUUCUACAUCUUGCUUCAUCCUGUGGCAAAAAAGGUGUGCUGGAUUGGUUGGCUGAGACCAAAGGAGUGGAUCUCUUGGCAAAAGACAAAGAGUCUGGAUGGACAGCUUUGCACAGAAGUAUAUUUUAUGGAUACAUUGAUUGUGUUUUGUCACUACUGAAGCAUGGUGUUAGUCUGUACAUUCAGGAUAAAGAAGGCUUAUCAGCCUUGGAUCUUGUGAUGAAAGACAGACCAGUUCAUGUGGUGUUCAAGAAAACUGAUCUCACAGAAGUCUACACGUGGGGAAACAAUAUAAAUUUUACAUUGGGUCAUGGAGGUCAACAGAGUAAACAUCAUCCUGAAUUGGUGGACCUCUUUCCUCGUAACAGCGUGUAUAUCAAACAGGUGGUACUCUGCAAAUUCCACUCGGUGUUCCUUUCCCACAAAGGUCAAAUUUAUACGUGUGGACAUGGACAAGGAGGGCGCCUAGGACAUGGUGAUGAGCAAACAUGCCUGGUUCCAAGACUUGUGGAAAGCUUAAGUAGUCACCAGUGCUCCCAAAUAGCAGCAGCUAAAGAUCAUACAGUUGUUUUAACAGAAGAUGGAUGUGUUUACACGUUUGGUCUAAAUACUUUCCACCAGUUAGGUAUUCUUCCUCCUCCUGCUAAUUGCAGUGUUCCUAGACAGGUUCAGGCAAAAAACCUGAAAGGUAGAAUGGUGAUUGGAGUGGCUGCAGGCAGAUUCCAUACAGUGCUAUGGACUAAGGAAGCAGUGUAUACCAUGGGGCUGAAUGGAGGCCAACUAGGUUAUCUGCUGGAUCCUAAUGGAGAAAAGUGUGUAACUGCGCCUCGACAAGUUUCUGCUCUACACCAUAAAGAUAUUUCUGUGUCGCUGGUGUCUGCAAGUGAUGGUGCUACAGUGUGUGUUACUGAAAGAGGGGAUAUCUAUUUACUUGCAGACUAUCAGUGCAAAAAGAUUGCUUCGAAACAGCUGAACCUUAAAAAAGUUUUAGUUAAUGGGGGCUAUUUGGAAUACAAGGUAGAUACCCAGCAUCUUAAAGAAAACGGGGGUCAGAAGAUCUGCAUUUUAGCACUGGAUGAAGCUGGAAGAAUUUUUUGCUGGAAGUCAUCUAAUAAUUCCAUGAAGCAAUGUCGUUGGGUAUACGGCCGACAAGUCUUCAUGUCUGAUGUUGCUUUGAAUAGGAACGAAAUGAUGUUUGUCACACAGGAUGGUGAAGCCUUUACUGGCAAGUGGCUAGAGGAAGGAAGAAAAAUGCGAGAGAAGAAAGCAGAGCUAGUAUCAAGCCUUCCAAAUGCUUCCACUGAAAUGUCUUGUUCAUAUGAUACAAACAAUGUGUAUGAAAGAAUUCGACUUCAGAAACUUGCUUUUGUCCACCGAGCUGUUAGUAUUUCCACAGAUCCUAAUGGAUGCAAUUUUGCUGUUUUACAAUCAGACCCUAAAACAAGUCUCUAUGAAAUUCCGAGUGUAUCACUAUCAAGUUUUGGAGAAGAUUUUGGCAAGCUCUUAGAUGAAACAGAUGAAAUGGACAGCAUCCAUGAUGUGACUCUUCAGAUUGGCACCAGAACUUACGCUGUGCACAAAUACAUCUUGGCUGUACGCUCUGACUUCUUCAAGAAGCUGUUUGUUUCCAGUGAUAGUCAGCUGGAAACUCCAGAUGUCUACCGUAAAGAUGAAGAUGCUGUUGGAUGUGAUCUGUAUGUAAUAGAGAAAGUUCAUCCAGAUCUGUUUGCAUACCUUCUGCAGUUCAUAUACACUGAUACUUGUGAUCUUCUGACUCAUGGUUACAAACCAAAAAUCCUACAUAAAGAAAAAUCAGAAGAGUAUCAAGAUACUUUAAUUUCUAACCUGAACAAAAUGAGUUUUGAUGAAGAUGUUAAUAGGAAGUCUGCAUUUGAAAUUUACAGAAAUAAUCAAGUGCAAGUUUUAAAUGAAAAACAGAAGAACAAAUCUAAAAAAGGCAAAAUUGUAGGUGAAGAAGCUAAUCUCAUAAAAAUGUUGCAGAGCGCUGCAAAAAAAUUUGGACUCAGCAAUUUAAGUGGAAGAUUGGAUGGAGUCAGGUUAGAAAAUGGAAAAAUUAAUGUUGUCAACAGGAAGAAUGGGAACAAACUGAAGUUUAAUCAGAAAAAAUGUUCAUACCUCUGCGAUGUGACGUUGAAGUCUUCAGAUGGAAAGGAAUUCCCUUGUCAUAAGUGUGUACUUUGUGCAAGACUUGAUUAUUUUCACAGCAUGUUAAGCAGCUCCUGGAUUGAGGCUUCCUCUUGUUCUGCUCUGGAAAUGCCAAUACAUUCUGACAUACUGCAGAUAAUAGUAGAUUACCUGUAUACAGAUGAAGCUCUUGCAAUAAAAGAUUCUCAAAAUGUGGAAUUCAUAUGCAAUGUUCUUGUGGUAGCAGACCAACUUCUUAUAUCCAGGCUCAAAGAGAUAUGUGAAGUAGCCAUUGCAGAAAAACUUACUUUAAAGAAUGCUGCUGAGUUGCUGGAGUUUUCAGCAAUGUAUAAUGCUGAACAGUUGAAACUGUCCUGCCUGCAGUUCAUAGGACUCAAUAUGGCAGCUUUGCUUGAAACGAGGACUCUGGAUGUCUUAAGUGAUGAAGUUGUAAAGGAUCUUUCUGUUUAUUACAGGAAAAUGAUUCCUGCUAUGGUCAGGAGAGUAAUUACGCCAUAUCCAGAUGGACCUGACUUAAGUUGUUUUGAGCCUGAAGAGGGAGAGAACUUUGUUUUUAUAAGGGAAGAAAUGAAUACAGAACAGAAUUCUCAGGAAGCUCUUUUCAAAAGGGCAAAAACUAAAGCAAAAAAGAAGCCACGGAAACGCUCUGACAGCUCUGGUGGAUAUAAUCUCUCAGACAUUAUUCAGAGUCCAGCCUCUACAGGCUCCAUAAAACUGGAUAAAACCAACUCAGUAGAAUCUCUUCCAGAACUCCUAACAUCUGACUCAGAAGGUAGUUACGCAGGAGUGAGUAGCCCUAGAGACUUGCAGUCCCCUGACUUCACAAAAGUUUUUCAUCCAGAGAGGACUGAGAUGAAAGAUAAAGCAUACAGUCUGGUUAUGAAAGCCUCUCAACAGAACAAGGAGAUGAAGUCAUACAAGGGAUCAUUGGCAUUGACACAGUCUGUUCCACAGUCCAUUCCCAGUACCAAAACCAGCUCUGCAACCUCUCCCAAUUGGGUAGCAAGCAGUUUCAGCCCUGCCAGCCCUCCUGCUAUGGAUCUAAGAACUAUAAUGGAAAUAGAAGAAAAUAUGCAGAAAAGUGGAACUAUGCCAAAGACAAAUUCAAGCAGAAUGGCUUCUCAUGGAAUUAAGCUUUCUCAGAAGCAAAGGAAAAUGAUUGCACUGGCAGCAAAAGAUAAUGGGUCAGUAACUACCAGCACAGAGCCUACUCCACUUAUAACCAUACCACCCACACCUACGAAAGUUGUGAAGCUAGGAAAUGCAUGGUCAUCUUCAUUGCAUUCUGCUUUGCCAAAAUCAUUCCGUGAUCUUGUAAUGGAGGAAGAAAAAUACAUGAGUGCAAAUAAUUUGCCUGGUACUGCUAUCAAGAGAGCUGGAUGUAAAGGAGCUGAGGAUUCAGCAGUCCAAAGCACCACAAGAUGCGUGGCUCGAAGUAGCCCAGGUCCGGAAGGCCACGUUUUGGAUUCUCCUCAGCUAGAGAGCCAUAAUCCUUGGUUGGCAACAUCACCAACUAACUCUCCUGUCAUGGCACCUGUCAUGUUUGCAUCUAUUGUAGAGGAAGAGCGCCAGCAAGAAGCUGCUCUUAUUAGGAGCAGAGAAAAACCCUUGGCUUUGAUCCAGAUUGAGGAGUGUGCUAUUCAAGAUUUGUUAAUCCAUUAUGAAGCUUUUGACAACCCUGAUGAAUUUGUGACUGUUGAAAGGGCUCCACAGGGACCUAUGGCCACACCUAUGUGGAACAAGCACUAAUUCGUACUGUUAACAGCCCAUAUUAUACGUGCACUUCUGAAAUCCUUAUUACAAGCAGAAUGAGACUGGUAAAACAUAAAUCAUGUAACUUUUAACAUCAGCAUUAAAAAUUGCACAUAAUCAGUAGGUAUUUGGUAGAGAUAAUGGAAGUAAUUUGUUCACUGUGUCUUUCACCCACAGCAUAUAUUGUAUGUAUGGUUUGAGAGAAUUUCUUUAACAAGCCCUGUUUAAUUAGUAGUGUCACAUGAAGAUGUAGAUUGGAAAUGCGUUUGCUAAUUUAAAUUGUAAAGGUUUUUUGUUGAACUUACAGGUGGCUGAAAAGCAAGUGCUUAUUUUGUGAUUUAAUGUGGAAUUGAUUGUGCAGAAUUAUACAUCUUUAAAGUUUAUUUGGGGGGUUACAUUUUUCAGAGCUUUCUGGCAAAUUGGGAAUAUAGCAAAAAGUUCGUGCUUGAACUUGAUGUAAAAGUACAGUUUGAUAAUGCAGUUUUCCUUAACUAAUGUAAGUAUGUGCUGGUUUUCUGACUGCUGUGACCAGUACGUUUUACUGUUAUGCUCCACAAUGAACUUCUGUGCUGUACCUAACCAUUGCCUGCUCUCAGUUUGGUUAUGCAUGUUCUUUUCACUGUUGUGAGACUGGCCUUUGAGCAGUCAGUUCCAUUGUGAAGUACACAGUUGAAUACAACGUGGUGGCACUUAAUUAGCUCAUCUGUAGUCUUAUUCUGGUAAAUAUGGUACAGUUUUAGAACCACAGUGUUUAAGGUACGAUUCACUUGAAGUGCUGAGGAAAUGCAAGGUCCAUACGUUCAUUUUUAAAGCUAAAGCUACCGAGAUGAAUGCUUGAUUGUGGAAUUUGUAAAUGCGUAACCUUGCAAAGAUUAUCAUAGGUGGCUUUCAGCAUUGUGUUUUCUGAAGUUCUCUGUGCCUGGUUUAAAAAAUUUAUAUAUGUAUGUAAAAGAAAAGAAAAAAGGAUAGCCUUAUCUACAGUAUUCUGUUUAGUUUGUCUGUUUGCAUAGGUGUGUUUGAACUUCUACUUUUUCAAUAGUGUCAAUACUCACAAACUCUGGAAAACUGGAAUUGAAAGAGCUGCAGAUGAUGAAUGUAGAGAAUUGAUCACUGUGUGAUAAGAGUUGAGUCUUGAAAAAACGCUGUGUAGAUAUGUCUAAUGGUUUCAGGUUAAGCUACACCAAAAAAUCCUCCACAAAAGUUGUAAACAAAUGCAAUAAACCAUAAAACCUUGAUUUACCCA